rnacentral:rRNA from 1 species
CCCUUAGAUGUUCUGGGCCGCACGCGUGCUACACUGAGUGGAUCAGCGGGUCAGGUUGCGCGAAAGUGUUUCCUAAUCUUGAAAUCCGCUCGUGAUGGGGAUUGACGGUUGCAAUUUUCCGUCAUGAACGAGGAAUACCUUGUAAGCGCGGGUCAUCAUCCCGCGCUGAAUACGUCCCUGCCCUUUGUACACACCGCCCGUCGCUCCUACCGAUUGAACGGUUUAGUGAGGGCCUCGGAUUGGUCUCGGCCCGCUCUUUACCGGGCGGCGCCGUUGGUCGAGAAGACGCUCGAACUUGAUCGUUUAGAGGAAGUAAAAGUCGUAACA